GAGUUACUGGGCGUAAAGGGUGUGUAGGCGGUUGUUUAAGUUUGGUGUGAAAUCUCCCGGCUCAACUGGGAGGGUGCGCCGAAUACUGAAUGACUUCGAGUGCGGGAGAGGAAAGUGGAAUUCCUGGUGUAGCGGUGAAAUGCGUAGAUAUCAGGAGGAACACCGGUGGUGUAGACGGCUUUCUGGACCGUAACUGACGCUGAGACACGAAAGCGUGGGUAGCAAACAGGAUUAGAUACCCUGGUAGUCCACGCCCUAAACGAUGCAUAUUUGGUGUGGGCAGUUCAUUCUGUCCGUGCCGGAGCUAACGCGUUAAAUAUGCCGCCUGGGGAGUACAGUCGCAAGGCUGAAACUCAAAGGAAUUGACGGGGGCCCGCACAAGCGGUGGAGCAUGUGGUUCAAUUCGACGCAACGCGAAGAACCUUACCUGGGCUCGAACGGCUUCUCAACGCCGGUGGAAACAUCGGUAUCCCGCAAGGGAGUGGAGUCGAGGUGCUGCAUGGCUGUCGUCAGCUCGUGUCGUGAGAUGUUGGGUUAAGUCCCGCAACGAGCGCAACCCUUGUCCUGUGUUGCCAUACCGAAAGGUGGAACUCGCAGGAGACCGCCAGCGAUAAGCUGGAGGAAGGUGGGGAUGACGUCAAGUCCUCAUGGCCUUUAUGUCCAGGGCUACACACGUGCUACAAUGGGCGGUACAAAGGGUCGCUAACCCGCGAGGGGGAGCCAAUCCCAAAAAACCGUUCUCAGUUCGGAUUGCAGGCUGCAACCCGCCUGCAUGAAGCUGGAAUCGCUAGUAAUGGCAGAUCAGCACGCUGCCGUGAAUACGUUCCCGGGCCUUGUACACACCGCCCGUCACAUCACGAAAGUGGAUUGUACUAGAAGUCUUCAGGCUGACCCGCAAGGGAGGCAGAGGCCCAAGGUAUGAUCCAUGAUUGGGGUGAAGUCGUAACAAGGUAACC
rnacentral:rRNA from 1 species